rnacentral:rRNA from 1 species
UACAGAGGUCUCAAGCGUUGUUCGGAUUCAUUGGGCGUAAAGGGUGCGUAGGCGGCGCGGUAAGUCGGGUGUGAAAUCUCGGAGCUUAACUCCGAAACUGCAUUCGAUACUGCCGUGCUUGAGGACUGGAGAGGAGACUGGAAUUUACGGUGUAGCGGUGAAAUGCGUAGAUAUCGUAAGGAACAUCAGUGGCGAAAGCGGCUUCCUGGGUCCAGCACCGGACGUUCAGGCACGAAAAGCGUGGGGGAGCAAACAGG